UAGCGUACAUUGCACAUCAGAAGCUACCAUCACUCGACUAGGAGGAAGGUCUAGGGGCUACGAUCGCAUAUCGGGGUCCCUGAAAUCGAGCAUCGACUAUGACAUCAGAGGUCUAAGCGUACCGAAAGCUCCAUCCGCAGGGAAGAAAAGACGGUACCUGACUAAGAAGGGCCCGGCUAACUGCGUGCCAGCCAGCCGCGGUAAUUACGAAAGGGGGCAAGCGUUACCCGGAUUUACUGGGUGUAAAGGGAGCGCCCAGGGGCGUGGCAAGUCAGAAGUGAAAGCGGGGCUCAAUACCCGGGACUGCUUUGGAAACUGUCAUGCUGGAGUGCAGGAGAGGCAGGCGGAAUUCCUAGUGUAGCUACCAAAUGCGUAGAUAUUAGGAGGAACACCCAGUGGCGAAGGCGGCCGGGCUGGACUGUAACUGAACUGAGGCUCGAAAGCGUGGGGACCCAAACAGGAUUAGAUACCCUGGUAGUCCACCCGUAAACGAUGAAUACUAGGUGUCGGGGGCCACAGGGCUUCGUUUGCCCCACGUAACGCAGUAAGUAUCCCACCUGGGGAGUACGUUCCAAGAAUGAAACUCAAAGGAAUUGACGGGACCCGCACAAGCGGUGGAGCAUGUGGGUUAAAUUCGAAGCAACGCGAAAGAACCUACCAAGCCUUGACACCCCAGUUGACCGUCCGGCAAUGCGGGGCUUUCCUNGGGGACAUUGGAGACAGGUGGUUCAUGGUUGUCGUCAGCCGUGUCGUGAGAUGUUGGGUU
rnacentral:rRNA from 1 species